AUGUUUGCGUGUAUUUACUGUUUCUUCCCCCUCUUCCCUUCGGUAGACCCCGAGACCACUGCUGAUGCCCCUGUGAUCGACUACGUCGACGAUGACCCUUCUUCCGUUUCAGCGGAGCUUCCAGAUGGUGGAUCCUUGGAGCCAGAUGCCACCGCCGACAUAUACUACUACAUGGAGGCCGCCGAAGACCAGGAGGAGUUAGGAGGUCCCAGGCAGGAGGCCUUGCCUCUUCGAUCGUGUUGCUUUUGUGCUAGCCUUCUUAAGGCAUCCUUGUUUAACUUAUGUCUGUACUCAGAUAUUGUUGCUUCCGCUGGCUAUUGUCUAUCGAGCUUUUUGUAUUUGAGCCCUCGAGGCCCCUGGCUUGUAAUAUAA
rnacentral:rRNA from 1 species